rnacentral:rRNA from 1 species
UUAAGCAUAUCAAUAAGCGGAGGAAAAGAAACCAACUGGGAUUGCCCUAGUAACGGCGAGUGAAGCGGCAACAGCUCAAAUUUGAAAUCUGGCCUCCUUCGGUGGUCCGAGUUGUAAUUUGCAGAGGGUGCUUUGGCGUUGGCAGCGGUCUAAGUUCCUUGGAACAGGACGUCACAGAGGGUGAGAAUCCCGUACGUGGUCGCCCGCCUCCGCCGUGUAAAGCCCCUUCGACGAGUCGAGUUGUUUGGGAAUGCAGCUCUAAAUGGGAGGUAAAUUUCUUCUAAAGCUAAAUACCGGCCAGAGACCGAUAGCGCACAAGUAGAGUGAUCGAAAGAUGAAAAGCACUUUGGAAAGAGAGUCAAAAAGCACGUGAAAUUGUUGAAAGGGAAGCGCUUGCAGCCAGACUUGCCCGUAGUUGCUCACCCGGACUUUUGCCCGGGGCAUUCUUCUGCGGGCAGGCCAGCAUCAGUUUGGGCGACCGGAUAACGGCCUCUGUCACGUACCAUCCUUCGGGAUGGCCUUAUAGGGGAGGCGUAAUGCGGCCAGCCUGGACUGAGGUCCGCGCAUCUGCUAGGAUGCUGGCGUAAUGGCUGUAAGCGGCCCGUCUUGAAACACGGACCAAGGAGUCUAACAUCUAUGCGAGUGUUUGGGUGUCAAGCCCGGGCGCGCAAUGAAAGUGAACGGAGGUGGGAACCCUCUCGGGGGUGCACCAUCGACCGAUCCUGAUGUUCUCGGAUGGAUUUGAGUAAGAGCAUAGCUGUUGGGACCCGAAAGAUGGUGAACUAUGCUUGAAUAGGGUGAAGCCAGAGGAAACUCUGGUGGAGGCUCGCAGCGGUUCUGACGUGCAAAUCGAUCGUCAAAUUUGGGCAUAGGGGCGAAAGACNUAAUCGAACUAUCUAGUAGCUGGUUCCUGCCGAAGUCU